rnacentral:rRNA from 1 species
GACAGAGGAGCCAAGCGUUGUCCGGAUUGACUGGGCGUAAAGCGCACGCAGGCGGAACGGCGCGUGGGGUGUGAAAGCUGGCGGCUUAACUGCCAGUCGCCAUCCCAUACGGCCAUUCUGGAGCCUUGCAGAGGGCAGUGGAAUUGCCGGUGUAGUGGUGAAAUGCGUAGAUAUCGGGAGGAACACCAGUGGCGAAGGCGGCUUCCUGGCCUGUUCUUGACGCUGAGGCGCGAAAGCUAGGGGAGCAAACGGGG